AAUGAGGUGGCUGAGCACAAGCAAUAGACUGUAGAUCUAUCCACGAACUAUUUCUCUCAUUA
rnacentral:tRNA from 1 species